CAGAAUUUAAAAAAGAACUUAUUACCCAGCCUGGAUGGACGCAAGUCUUUAAACGAAAACGUUUACUUUUUGUUGCAGAGAGAGUCUUCCAAACACGCGGAUGUGUGCCUUUGAUGGAAACGGUUUAUUUCGCGGAUUCUAAUUACACCUCGUAAAAUGGUACCCGUUUUUCGGUCGCGAUGUCGAGAUGCCGCCGAGAUGAAGCGUGCGAAUUUGCGAAUUGCGAUGGCGAGAAAGCACCCGAUCGCGCACGAAUCGCGCGGCUCAUUCGCCUCCUCGAACACGAACCAAUGUCCCAAUGUCGAACGUCAUCUAUCGGCGAGAUUUAGUACUAUUCAGAAUCGCUGAAUCUUACUGCCAACCGAAGCCGUAUUUUGUAGUUUUUGUGGGAUCGUCGCAACCGCGCAAGGUGGAUGCAAUCCAAGAUCAGGUGAGGAAAGAUAUAGACGAAGACUAAGAAAUCAUUAA